UACGAGGGGGGGCAAGCGUUUGUUCGGAAUUAUUGGGCGUAAAGGGUGCGUAGGCGGUUUGGUAAGUCUUAUGUGAAAUCUACAGGCUCAACUUGUAGUCUGCAUGAGAAACUGCCGGGCUUGAGUAUGGGGAGAGGUGAGUGGAAUUCCUGGUGUAGCGGUGAAAAUGCGUAGAUAUCAGGAGGAACACCUGUGGCGAAAAGCGGCUCACUGGACCAUAACUGACGCUGAUGCACGAAAAGCUAGGGGGAGCAAACAGG
rnacentral:rRNA from 1 species